GUUUGAGAACUGUGCUCUGGCUGGCCUGGAAGAAAGCAAACAUACCAGGUUGUGAAGUAACAGUGGUGGCCACGGAGAGAAGACCUAACAGCAGCCUUUGGUUGCCCAGAGCAGUUCCUGGCUGACAGCCAGCAAGUAAAUGGAACUUCAGCCCUACAAUCAUGAGGAACUGAAUUCUGCCAACUAUAUUACAUCAAUGAGCUUAGAAGUGAAUUUUUCCCCAGAGCCUCCAGUCAAAAACUCAGCCCAGCUGACUCUUUGGUUUCAGCCUUGUAGUACCCUGAACGGAGAAUGUAGCCGCCAUGCCAGACUUCUGAACAGGUGGUAAGGUAGAGGAUGAAAGAGAAGCUCAGGGGCCGUAGUGGUAGUACUGACUACUGAAAAUCCAGAGGACAAAGCAGUUGAAGAAGCAUUGACAUCUACUUCAAAACAAGCUCCACACCCAACAUGAAGCUCGAACUCAUGACUCUGAGAUCAAGAGUUGCGUGCUCCACUGACUGAGCCAGCCAGGAGACAUGCUGACUAUCCCUACCACUGGCCCUUGGAUGAAUGAAGACUGUCUUCUCCAUUCCAGCAGCAUUCUCUAAUUUUGUAUCUUGGAGAGGAGGAGGUAGGAUAUCCCCAGAGAGAAUAUUUAGGGUUUAUUUUUUCCCAGAAGGUUCAGAGCUCCUUAUGCAAAUUCAUCUACUUCUGCCCUAAGUAAACAUCUUUGCAUUUCAGGAGUCACAGUGAGUGACAGACUUGGUGAAGCAAUGAAAGAUACUUGCUAUACUCUUAUUACAAAGCAUUACAGCCUCAUUAAAGCUCUCUGCCUGCCUGACAUUUGUAGAAAGAAUAGGGCCAUUCUAGUGACUCUUCAAGAAAUAAAUAAUUAGCAUUUCUUGCAAACAAUAUAAAAAAAAAGUCUUACUCUGCUACAUGUAAAAUAGCCAGACUGCCUAGGUCCAUAGUAGAGGACUUUAAGCCUUCUCUCUCUAUUUACCACCACUCUUAUUAUUUGUCCUAGUUCCUCUAAAAUUCUUUUUGAUGCAAGAGUCUUUUUCUCUUGGAUGUUAUGUAGCUUAUUCUUCAUUCAACUAAAUCAAUAAGGGCAAUAAAGUAAAAUAAAAGGGUGUUUAAGGCUAAAUCUAAGACUGAAGUAUAAGAAGAAGAGGGGUUAAGGAGGAGGUGGGA